rnacentral:ncRNA from 1 species
CGACUUAAAUACGCGACGGGGUAUUGUAAGUGGCAGAGUGGCCUUGCUGCCACGAUCCACUGAGAUUCAGCCCUUUGACGCUUCGAUUCGU